AGUGAACGCUGGCGGUAGGCCUAACACAUGCAAGUCGAACGGCAGCACAGUAAGAGCUUGCUCUUACGGUUGGCGCGUGACGGACGGGUGAGGAGUACAUCGGCUUCUACUUUUACGUGGGGGACCACGUAGGGACACUUACGCUAAUACCUCAUAUGUUCUACGGUAGAAAUCAGGAGUUCUUCGGACUUUGCGUGUCUGUAUGAGCCGAUGUCGGAGUAGCUAGUUGGCGGGGUAAUGUCCCACCAUGCCGACGAUGCGUAGCUUGUCUGAGAGUAUGAUCAGACACAAUGGAACUGAGACACGGUCCAGACUCCUACGGGAGGCAGCAGUGGGGAAUAUUCCGCAAUGGGCGAAAGCCUGAUGCAGCCACACCGCGUGAGUGAUGAAGGCCUUCGGAUUGUAAAGCCCUUUUAUUGGGAAAGAAAAGCUGUGGGUGAAGACCCCGAUGUUCUGACGGUACCCAAACAGAAAGCACCGGCUAACUUCGUG
rnacentral:rRNA from 1 species